UCACUAUUUCUAGUUCAGCUAGAAUAAUAUCUGGUUGCUAGUGUAAUAUCCGGUCGUCAAUACUAUAAUAAAAUUAACCCAAAAAAAGCAUGUUUCCCUCAAUUUUUCCCCACUCACCCCUCUAAAUAGAUUUUAAAAAUAAAGAAAAACCUAACAAACGGCUUAGCAGUAGAAACUGCCAAGUCUUCAUCUCGCAGCCUCAAAAUUCUCAAUCAUUAUUAGGGUGUGCCUGUGUUUGAAAUGUGUGGAAUAAAUUGUAUUACCUGGGAAAAUAAUUUUUCUAUGUGUUUUGUAAUACCUGGGAAAAUAAUUUUUUGUAAUUGGAUAGUCUCUUAUGCUUUCACUUUAUUUCUUAUGUGUGGAAUUUUUUGAAUAAGCUUCAAAAUUUUACUUGGCAGCGUAGGAAUAAGAUCGAGACUCUGUUGCUACAAGUCAGAGGCAUGGAGAUAUUAUAAGAGAGCGUCAGCUGCGUUCUUGUUCAAUUUUGGAUUUCAUCUCUGCUCUUCUUGCUUUUGUUGUGAUGUUUAAUUUUUUUAAGAUUCAUCUGCGAUGGUUGUGUUAAAUUGUUGAAGGCUUACUAUCAUUACUUAGCCCUAAUUAUUUUGGAAUCUAUUGAAUCUAUUGCAAGUUUAACUGUUAUAUAUAUGUUUAAUUUUUUAAGAUUCAUCUGCGAUGGUUGUGUUAAAUUGUUGAAGGCGUACUAUCAUUACUUAGCCCUAAUUAUUUUGGAAUCUAUUGAAUCUAUUGCAAGUUUAGCUGUUAUAUAUAAUUGUCCAUACAAUUGCUCACCACCUGUUCGACUAAUUUGCUGAAUGAAUAUUAGAGCCUUAGAACUAGCAUCUUUCAUCCCCACUGCUAAACAACUUUUUUCAGUCAAUAGUUUUUGCAAUACACAUUCUAAUUUUCAGCAAUACGUAUUUGAAUAAAGAAAUAUAAUAUAAUAUUUUUAGUAUGUAUUUCUUUAGUGGUAGUAGAAUUUUAGAAUAAAAAAUUAAGCUAUAUCAAAUAGCAAUAUAUAUUCUGAAUGAAGGGAAUUAUUAAUGUUCAUUGAUGCAUAUUUACAUGCACACAAUUAUAUAGCCAGUUAAAUUACUCUAUUCAAUGUAUGAUCAAUUGAUAUAUCUAUGUUAACUGUGUUCAGGAUCAUAAAGAAAGGCUAUAAAACUGGUCCAUCCUCUCAUUUCCACUUCUGUUUCUUGGUCUCUUCCUUGCUGUGACAGGUCUGCCAUUAAACAAAUUGUUGUACACCAUUAGUUAUCUGCUGGUAACUUCAGCCGCUGCUGGAAUCACAUUUUGUUUCCUGUAUGUAUUGGUCGAUAUGUAUGGUUGGAGGCGCUUGAUGUUCGCUUUAGAGUGGAUGGGGAAGCAUUGAUUAGAAAGCUGAAGUCUGAAGAACUUGUCCGUGAAGAAAGUCCAGAGCAAGUAGCUACUGAAAAUGCUAAAGAAUAAGUUGAACUACAAGAGGAGCCUAUUUUCUCUUUUGUUAGGAGUUGUUUAAAAAUAUUUCCAAUUGUAAUGCUACAAUUCUAUUUUCUAUUUUGUUAGGUGUCGACAAACAUAUGGUCCAUUUUGGAUAGCUAUAUUUUUGGUAAUGUUUUACCCUUUGUUCCUUGUAAUUAACGGUGAAAUUUUAUAUGAAUAUCGAUUCUUUCUUA